rnacentral:misc_RNA from 1 species
AACGGUCUAUACCUGCGGUACCUGCGGAAGGAUCAUUAUAGAGUGGUAAACCUCCCGUAAAAAGGGGGGGACCUCCCGUCCUUUGCAGGCUCUUUUUUAAGGGGCUUUUUUGACUUUCUGCUUCGGUGGGGUUAUCCUACCGGAACAACUUCAAAACUCUGAAUCAAAAAAAUCGUUCUGUCCGAGGGCUUUUUUAUAAAAUAAAAAAAACUUUCAACAACGGAUCUCUAGAUCGGAAGA